rnacentral:rRNA from 1 species
GCACAAGCGGUGGAGCAUGUGGCUUAAUUCGACGCAACGCGAAGAACCUUACCAAGGCUUGACAUAUACCGAAAACUCGUAGAGAUACGGGGUCCGCAAGGGCGGUAUACAGGUGGUGCAUGGUUGUCGUCAGCUCGUGUCGUGAGAUGUUGGGUUAAGUCCCGCAACGAGCGCAACCCUCGUCCUAUGUUGCCAGCGAGUAAUGUCGGGGACUCAUAGGAGACUGCCGGGGUCAACUCGGAGGGAGGUGGGGAUGACGUCAAAUCAUCAUGCCCCUUAUGUCUUGGGCUGCACACAUGCUACAAUGGCCGGUACAAAGGGCUGCAAUACCGCAAGGUGGAGCUAAUCCCAAAAAGCCGGUCUCAGUUCGGAUUGGGGUCUGCAACUCGACCCCAUGAAGUCGGAGUCGCUAGUAAUCGCAGAUCAGCAACGCUGCGGUGAAUACGUUCCCGGGC